GCCUCGGGCAGCGCCCCGAGUAGCAGCGCCCCGCAGGGACUGCAGACUCAGGACUGGCACUGAACACGUAACCUAAGAAGGACAGCAUGCCUGGACCUCGCGUGGGGUUGCAGGGGCCAGAGCCAGAGGGCUCAGUCCCAGCAGGAGGACAGGCCCAGCGAAGGCGCAACGCCGCCGAGGCAGCUGCCCAUGGACCCGCACCUGAGGGAACGAGUGAGCAUGAACUUUGUGCCCGGAAGAUCAUCUCAUAUGAGGAAUGACAGCGCUUCUUGAAUAAUGUGCCUGGUCACUGGGACUUCUCACGGUGCACUCAGAGCUGGCGGU